rnacentral:tRNA from 1 species
AAGAAAUUAGUUUAUAUAAAACAUUAGCAUGUCAAGCUAAAGAUAUUAAAAAAUAUUUCUUA